rnacentral:rRNA from 1 species
UACAGAGGUGGCAAGCGUUGUUCGGAAUUACUGGGCGUAAAGGGCGCGUAGGCGGCCAUCUAAGUCAGACGUGAAAUCCCCCGGCUUAACCUGGGAACUGCGUCUGAUACUGGAAGGCUUGAGUUUGGGAGAGGGAUGCAGAAUUCCCGGUGUAGCGGUGAAAUGCGUAGAUAUCAGGAGGAACACCGGUGGCGAAGGCGGUUCUCUGGGCAUUACCUGACGCUGAGGAGCGAAAGUGUGGGGAGCGAACAGG